CUAUUCUUUCUCUAGAACAGAAACUCUAAUCUAAGGUUUUCUGUGACACUUUGCUGGUAUUUUACUGAUAAAAAACUAAUUGAAAUGCAUAAAUAUUUGGGUUAUUUAGAGCUCUAAAACUCCUAAACCAAUAAGAAAAGUUCUCUACUAAAUAGGAAGUUAAAAUAAACCAAAGUACUUUAGAAAAUGUAGAUAAAAUGGGAAUAAACUAAUCCUAUUUGAAUAGCGAAACAUAAAUAAAUCCUAGAUAGAAUUGAAAAUCAUGAGAUUGAUUAAUAAAAUCUUAGGAGUGAUUUAUGAU
rnacentral:misc_RNA from 1 species